UACGUAGGGGCCUAGCGUUGUCCGGAUUUAUUGGGCGUAAAGAGCUCGUAGGCGGCUUGGUAAGUCAGGUGUGAAAUCUCCACGCUCAACGUGGAGGGGCCACCCGAAACUGCCAUGGCUUGAGUUCGGUAGGGGAGACUGGAAUUCCUGGUGUAGCGGUGAAAUGCGCAGAUAUCAGGAGGAACACCGAUGGCGAAGGCAGGUCUCUGGGCCGAUACUGACGCUGAGGAGCGAAAGCGUGGGGAGCGAACAGG
rnacentral:rRNA from 1 species